AGCAGAACCAGCCCAGUGACACCAGUCCACGCAGCAUGGCCGUGCAGGCCCUGGCACGGGUGCUGCGCCUCAGGGGCAGUCAGCCAGCUGUGGAACUAAUGGACCAGGAGCAAGGCUGGCAGCUGCUGGAGGAGGCCCAGCCCGAGGGGUUCACUCUUCUUAGCAGAGCCAUAGUGAGCCACCCAAACAUGGCCCUGAAAAGCAUCC